GACUGGUUUGUUAAUUCCUUGUUUCCUGUGCUGAGAAUUCCCACAAAGAUUCCUGUAAGUGGUAAGGUUUUGGCUUUACCUAUUGAUGGAACAACUGGAACACCUCCAGCAAGCUUCAUUUAUGAUAAGCCCCUUCAUAACCAUACAUUCAAAAACAUACCUGUGAAACAGGAAUUACCAUCUAAAUGACUACAACUCCCACAGAGAUGAUGGAAUGUGUUUAUUAAGUAACUGACAAGCUGAUAACAAAGACUGAUAUAACUGCAACUCCAGUGGAAGUGAUCAUUUGAUGAAUGAAGAGGGAAGUACCCACUGAAUCCUGAAAUAGCUACGCACAGAAGCCUCAGGUAGUAGCCUGACUUUAGAAUGCCUUCCCCUUCCUUUCCUUGGUUCUUUCUGUCCAGUCAGGUUUGCUGAAGUUUUGAAUUCGGAAUGCUCUCAAGUUCUUCUUGCAGAAUCAAAAGUAAAAACCAUUGCCUUUGUGACUUACUAUAAUAGUAGUACAAGAGCACAACUAUUUUGUUAAGAAUGCAGUUGGAGUGCCAGUGCACAGUGGCUCAUUAGACCACUGCAGCAAUGAACUCUUCUCUUAGGCAAUAGGCAACUAAUAGAUUCAGCUAUAGGUUUUUCUCUUAUUUCAUCUUUCUUGAAUAUCUUUAUUUUCAGGGAGCAACAUGUAAUGCCUUUACAUUGAUCAAAGUGAAAGCAAAAAUACUGGUUAAAGAACUCGGUGGUGUUUGAAAGCACCUCCUACAGUUUGCCAGCAUCUGAAUUUUUGUCAGGUAUCCCCAUAUAUCUGUUUUU